rnacentral:rRNA from 1 species
ACGGAAGGCAGCAGUGGGGAAUAUUACACAAUGGGGGAAACCCUGAUGCAGCGACGCCGCGUGAGUGAUGAAGUAUUUCGGUAUGUAAAGCUCUAUCAGCAGGGAAGAAAAUGACGGUACCUGACUAAGAAGCACGGGCUAAAUACGUGCCAGCAGCCGCGGUAAUACGUAUGGUGCAAGCGUUGUCCGGAUUUACUGGGCGUAAAGGGCGUGUAGGCGGAGAGGCAAGUCAGAUGUGAAAUCCCGGGGCUCAACCCCGGAACUGCAUUUGAAACUGUCUCCCUUGAGUAUCGGAGAGGCAAGCGGAAUUCCUAGUGUAGCGGUGAAAUGCGUAGAUAUUAGGAGGAACACCAGUGGCGAAGGCGGCUUGCUGGACGACAACUGACGCUGAGGCGCGAAAGCGUGGGGAGCAAACAGGAUUAGAUACCCUGGUA